rnacentral:lncRNA from 10 species
GCAGAGUUCUAUGUGACUAGAUUGUAGCUCACAUAACCCAGAACAGAAUUUUUCAGAGGAAGAAACUGAGGCUUGGAUAGGUUAUGUGAUCAGGCAGCCAAUGUGAUCAUGUCAUCGACUAUAGUAGAUGGAGUUGUCCUAUUCUAUCAACAAAGCUAUUGGAGAAUAUUGAAGAGGGAAAAAGAAUAUCAACGCUUUCCACAAAGUUCUAGAAGGCAGAAGCCUUAUCAUUCCUUCCACCAGCUAACUCCAAAUUAUUUGAAGGCAUCUCUUUGAUGUUGGAAUAUCAUUCAAAAGCAAUAUUGAAUAUGACCAUUCUUCAGGCCCUCAGAGGAGUCCCACAUCCAGGGUCAGAGGCUUGAUGACUUGCAGACACACAUGAAUUCCGUGAUGAACCUGUCCAAAUAUCCCUUGAGGCACCAGCUGAGUGCAAAAGGGGGCAUGGAGAAUGGAAGCCGUCUGCAAAUUCCUCCUUGAUCCAAAUUAGACCUGGCAAGAGUCAAGCUUUCCCAAGAGCCAAGAGAGAAUCACUGGACGUUGACAAGGGCAGAGAGUAGAAAAGACAUAGUCACCCUUGGAUAUCAGGGAUAAUCCUGGAGCCUCCAGACCAGCAAAAGUCCAGCUGGAAAACCUGCCCAGCCUCUUACACAUUCGUCCCCACUCUAGUAUGAGCCAUGGCAGCUUCCUGGAGAGUACAAUCCAAGACAGCCCAAUUUAUUUUUAUCUUUUAUCCUCUGAGAAAAAUAACAGGAUUCAUCAAUAAUGCCAUGUUUAGACUCAUUUGGGAAAUCAAGAAGUUUGCCAUGAGAACAGCAUUCUCUUUGAUCCAUUUUACUACAGUAUCAUAUUUUGGAAAAUGUAAUUAUAGCUGGAUUCCCCCAGCAAAAUCAAAGGACUCUGGGUGUCCUUCUGCUGUAUGGGCAGCCCAGGCCACUGGACAAGGUGUCUGAUGGCCAUACGACUGAUGCUGUCAGAUCAGCUCAGUAUUCUAUGUUUCUUCACCUGCUGUAAAUGAGCACUGCUCCUGGAAAAUGAGGUCAGUCUUCCUCCCGGGUCUUUCCAAGCUCCCUGGAGACACUGGUUUGCAGAGGUGUGCUCUUUGGGAUCUUUGGAAAGGAGAGGCUGAGCUGGUAUUGACAGUGCAAAACCCUCAUUAGGAAGUAACACUGUUAAAAGAGAAAGAGGAGUAGCACCGCAGACUGGAUAAAGUCCCUACCAGCCCAGCAGUGAGCUCCGAAGCAGAGAUUGCUUGCGGGAGGAGUCCCACAUCCAGGGGAAGAGGCUGGGCCCUUGUACCGUGGCCUUGCUUAGUUACAGGACCAGGGUUCCCUUGCUCCCUGCAUGCUGAGGAGAAUCCAGAGGGGCUAAUAGCUGGAGACGGUGAGCUAAGCACGCUCUCAGCCCCUGGGCAGCCAGUCCUUUCAUGAAGAGAUCUGAGCUGCGAUUCUCCAGGUCUGCUACAAAUGGUGAGAAGGACAUUUGGGCUUGAUCAGGGGACAUGAGUUCAGAGGAUCUCAGUCAAAGCUGUUACAUAUGUCCAGGACUUUCUGGAGCCAAAAGAAUAUUUACAGUGAUUUCUCCCUAGAAAUUCACUGCUUAACAGGAGUUCAAAACUGCUUCUUAUUGAAAUUUAUUCUUUCCUACUUCACUAGCUAAUUCAAUAAACAUCUAUUGAGCAUUUUCAAUCUAUAUCUAUUGAGUUCCUUGAAAAUGGCAAACCCUGAGUAAGGGUUGAAGCUACAAAUAUUCCUGAGGCUUAUAACCUCCUCUCCGAGGGCUUACACUUCCACAACAGAUAUAAAUACGAUGUGAAAAUAACUGAAGAAAUCCAAGAAAGCUUGGGACAAUUGCUGUGGAAAAGAAAGACAUUUGGGCUUGAUUAGUUGA